UUUUCCCGGGAGAAAAAUCACAUUUUGAUUCUCUAACAUGCACCCCCUUCUGUUUGCCACCACCGGGACCGUGAUCUCCACCCCCGACACCGACGCUGCCAUGCCCUUUUCUUCCAAUUCCAAGCCUAAAUCCUCAAACCAUGCCCACAUUUCAAACUGCAAUUCUCAUUCCCUUUCCUGCAAGCACUCUUCUUCCGCCACUCUUGACCUCCUCAUUCUCAUUCUUGUCCUCUUCUCCGGUGCUUUCCUUCUUUCUUCUUAUUUCUCUUAUAUCUUCAACUCCCUUUCCCUCCUCUCUCAUUUCACACCACAGCUCUACCAACUCCCGACCCCUCAGAUUCUAGGGUUCAUCAUCUUCUUUGUCAUUUCGAUUUUAUUAGUUCUUUUCUGCUGUGGUGCUCGAUCCCGUAAGUGUGGCAAGCCCGGAUGCAAAGGACUCAAGAAAGCAAUGGAAUUUGAUUUGCAGUUGCAAACGGAAGAGUCUCUCAAGACUGGGUCUGAUGAGAUUGAUAAACUGCCUUGGAAGGGUGGGAGUGAGAACAAUCCCGAUUACGAGUGUCUGAGUUCCGAACUCAGGAAUAUGGCUCCCCCUGGUGGGCGUGCCGUCUUGUUGUUUCGAACAAAGUGCGGGUGUCCUGUUGCCAAGCUCGAGGGAUGGGGACCGAGAAAGGGGAAACGGCAUAAGAAAAACAUGUUGGAAGGAUGCCAUUGCCCUCUUUUGAGUUAUACUACAUGUGAAUGACAAUAAAUGAUGAGAUGGCUCCUCAGCUUAAGAAGCUAAAGCUAUAUCAUCCCAAGCCAAAUGUUACCUUUAGAUGUCCCUACCCAAUAGAAUUCUUAAUGGAGGGGGAGAUCAUCCCUGACAGCUCCCGGUGUUUCUUCCGCCAGCGCCUUCUUUAUAUGAUCAAUAUUUUCAUGGUUCCUUUUACUGUAAUACAGACUUUUGGUCAGAAUCAUUUUUUCAUAAAGAAAUAGAAAAAUUAUAAUCUGGUUGUAGCCAUUCUUUUCCCUAGUCAGAGUCUGCACAUCUUGGAGAUUUGUCUUGUCAGCUUUAGAGUGAUUAUGGGAAAUUAAACUACAAUAAGUAUAUGAAACACCAGAUUUAUGUUU